CGCUUUUAACCGAUCAGUUCACGAAUAGGAAGCUUGUGGUUGAUGAUUGGCGCAUUGGGAUUAACCUUUGUGACAAGAAGCCGAUCACAAGGGACCAAGUCUCGGCUAAUGUUAGAAAGCUGAUGAUUAACGGAGAAUCUUCUUGUGAGCUGAGAAACAACGUUAAAAAGGUUAAACAUCAUUUAAAAGAUGCGGUUACAGCCGUUGGAUCUUCGGAGAAGAACAUUAAGUCGUUCGUUGGUGAGGUCCGAGAUGUAAUGGAAACUAAAUUACGUAAUGUAAUGUAAAUACCAUAUAUUCAAAACUCUUGUUUUACUUCACUUUGCUGCCGGAUUCGUUAGGACCACUGGAUCCAGACAUUAGAUCUUCAAAGUAUACUGAAGACUUGAUCCUCAGUGAGAGCCUCGGGGGUUUGAGCCGUCUAAAAGCGACCAGCCUUGAUGUGUUUCAAAUUUUUGGGUUCGAUAGCAAGAAGGAUAAGUCUAACAUGGUCUGAAAUGGAACAAAAGCAAAAGCAUGGGGUCAAAAUGUUGAUAGUUGAAAAAGAAAGUGACUCUUGGCUUUAAAAGAAACUUUUUACUAUAACUGAUAGCUUCACUGUACACAAAUCUAACUCUCUUUCACACAUUUUUCUUCUGUGUUGAAACAUAUUUCUAUGUAUAAACUUACUGUUAUUUCCAUGCUUAGUUGGCUAUCAAUAUCAUGCCGUUUUUUUCUUUUCUUUUGUUUAUAGAAGUUUCAUGGCUUCGCGUUGAAUAAACAUGUCGAAGAGUAGUUUUAACUCUUUAACAAUUGAGUCAAAGUACAAUCUUUGGAUGCUAAAGUUCAACUUUCAAUGUCUACUCACGAAAAAGGCCUUUCAAAACUAAGUUUGGGUUGAGCCAAACCACAACGGUUACCUCACUAUAAGAAAACCUAACAAUUCUCCCAUUAUUCCCACCAAAUUUAUCCAAAGAUUAUACGGUUCAAAAUUCAAACAAUCAAUCUUCAAAAGAAAUAGCCUUAUCAAGAAAAGUCGUUCUUAAGCUGAUUGAUAGAGAAUAAAAGUCUCUGUGUUCGAUUGAUCAAGCAUAUGUCUACUUUCAUUUCAGUCAAUUUUAUCUACACGACAAACACUCUCCAACAUUUAAUUUGUCCAAGCCAAAGCUUAAUAUAUAUUAAAACUAGACUCUUCGCCUAAGUCCCAAAGUAUAACCAAAAACCAUUUAAAGCUAAAUUUGAGUCAUUGAACCAAACCAUAUUGGUUUCCUCACUAGGAGGAAAAACCAGCACUCUUUUUGGUCAUUGUGAGUGAAUUCCAUCCAAAACUCUCGUAUAUUUUGCAAUCGUAGUUAGACAAAAACUAUGAAUUUGGGUAAUUUAAACAUUUUUGGAUCCUCUUGAAGAGCAAGUUCCUUACAAAAAUGAUGUAAGCCAAAUUGUCAUAAAAUGACAAAUCUGCUUUAGUGUGAUAAGCCGCUUUACACUGGUCCACUCGUUCUUAUCACGUCGAGCUCGUACUCGAAGGGAUUGUCUCUACGUGUCCUGUGAAUAUUCAUCCUAAACCAAGUUUCAAGGUUUCUGCUGUCACAAGAUAUUUUUUUUAGAAAAUCAAUUCAUAUAAUUGCACAUACGAUGCAAGAUAUCUUUCUAGAGCCAUAUAUGAGUUGUACUAAUAUAUACAUUCACAACAUAAUCCAUAUGAUAUAUAAGUGAUACGAAUACCAUAGUCAAAUUGAGAUUAGAUCUAGAAUACUAUAUAAAUUAUAUAAGCUAAUCUACGAAUUUUCAAUAAUUUUGAAUUCAAAACUCAUGACAAUUUGGUUCAAAAUAGAUUGAAAAAAAUCAUCAUCUUAAAAUAUCGUAUUUAGAAAUCCCACAUCAGAAAUGAUGAAUUAUAAUUUCAAAAGAACGUGUUACAUCACAAAUAAGAUAAGGAUUUUUGCUAAAAAUAACCCAAAACUUGAUUUUGAAUACAAAAGUAGACCCCUGAAAAAACAUUUAGCAGAUAUAACCUACAUGGGUAGUGAAAAGACCAUUUAAUCCUGUAUGAAUAAACAAAAAACGGAUGUCCUAAUUACCGUUUUAUCCCUGACGAAGUCUACUAAAGUAAAACUGAAGUCUACUAGUAGACUACUAAGUAAUUAAAUUUGUAAAUUUAAUUUUAAAAUUUAGAAAAAAUUAUUUUGGUAUAAGAAUUACAUUCAUAAAUUCCGUAAUUGUAACACAAAUGUACAUAAAUUAUUUUUUCAUAUUGAUAAAUGGAAAUUUUUGUUUUUAAAUUAAGAAUAAGAAAAUCUAUUAUUUAGGUUUUAAAAUUUGUAGACUUCUAUAUUGAAGUCUGCUAAACCGAAUAAAUUAACCUAACCAAAAUUUAAACCAAAUUAAACCAAAAUUGAACAAAAAAAUAGUCAUUUUAACCAAAAUUUAAACCAAAAUUGAAUAAAAAUAAGUUUUCUUAACCAGAAAAACUUACCGUAUAUAAACUAGUUCUAUAGCAAAUAAACCCUAAUUNNNNNNNNNNNNNNNNNNNNNNNNNNNNNNNNNNNNNNNNNNNNNNNNNNNNNNNNNNNNNNNNNNNNNNNNNNNNNNNNNNNNNNNNNNNNNNNNNNNNAGUGUUAUGCAUGUCUCUCACCCAGAAUGAUGUAUAUAUAUUGAAACAAAUCAGUCUAAAACAAUACGUAGAAACAAUUACAUUUCUUGGCUGGCAUAGGAAUGUGAUGAUAAUAAGCUGUAAAAAUGAUCGAAACUCUUGAAUGCACAUAACAAAAUACUCAAAUGUGUCCAAGAUAAUGUUUUAAAAUUAGCUUAUGUCACUUUAAUUACUUGUGUACUAUAACUGUUAACUUUAACAAGAAUACAAAAGCAUUACUUACACAAGUUCUCAUCUAUCAUUCUCUAUAAACAAUAUUUUGUGAUAAAACACAAAAAAACCAUAUUAGCAAACAAAAUUAUGAACCAUAUUAUUGCAAAAACGUAAGUAACAAUAGAAAUAUCUAUUGGUCAUCAUUUGUAAUAAGCAUAAGUGUAUUGGUCAUGUUAUGUAUUUUUAUCACCUAAGACAACACAUUAUAUCUAAAGCCACAUAAAAGAACAUUAGUAGACUACACGACGAAGUCUACUUUGAUAAACUAAGUACCUCAAAAAUCGAAACUUCUGAUUCAACAAUAAAUAUCCAAUGAAAUGAAAUAAAAUUCACUGGGUAGUUCAAUCACUUACUAAGAAGCAAUUUUAAACAAAAAAAUUUGAAAAAUAGUUUAUAAAUUUGCUUAAAACGCGUUUUUAAAAAAACGUCAAAAGUAGACUUCUAAAGCAGACUUCGAAUGUAGACUGGAGGAGAAGUCUACUUUGAUAAGCUAAGUACCUAAAAAAUCGAAACUUGUGAUUCAACAAUAAAUAUCCAAUGAAAUGAAAUAAAAUUUAAUGGGUAGUUCAAUCACUUACUAAGAAGCAGUUCUGAACCAAAAAAUUUGAAAAAUAGUUUAUACAUUUGCUUAAAACGCGUUUUAAAAAAAACAUAGGAAAGUAGACUUCUAUAGUAGACUUCAAUUGUAGACUGGAGGAGAAGUCUACUUUUUCAUCGAGAAGUCUACUAAUGAAGUCUACUUAAAAAAAGGUCAUUUUUGCAAUUGACCAAUCUGUUGACUUUUCCUUCAGGAGACUUCAAGAGUAGACUUUAGGCAAAAAAGGUUACUUUAGCAAUUGACCAAUGCAUUGACUAACAUAGUAGACUUCUAUUGUAGACUUCAUGUAAGAGUAGACUUCUCUGGCAGUCUACUUUUGAAGUCUACUUUUUAAAUAGAAGUCUACGGAACAAAAUAGGUUAUUUUUGCAAUUGAAUUUUUUUAGUAGACUUCACGAUGAAGUCUACUAAAAAAAAAGAUUCCUUCCAAGUUUGACCGAACACAAUAAGUAGACUUCACAAAGAACACAAUAAGUCUACUGAAGUUUUUUGGGAUUUUUUAAAUUUUUUAAUUUUUGAAAAACAGAAGUCAAACACUAAAAUGACCUAUACGUUUUUGGUCAAACUACAAAAGUAACCUUAAAGUAGACUUCGUAUGCAGACGUAAGCAGUAGACUUCAUACGGAAGUCUAAAUCAAAAAGUCAAAAUACGGUCAACUACAAAAAUAACCUCUUUUCUUUAGUAGACUUCUUGAGCCUUCAAACGAAGUCUACUAAGCUUUUUUUUGUUUUCAAAGGAUGUCGAGUAGACUUCUCGUGAAGUUUAACGAAGUCUACUUUUAAAAAGUCAAUUGCAAAAGUAACCUUAUGUUGACUAGUAGACUUCACAAUACUUCACGAGAAGUCUACUUUCGCGAUAUGAAAACUGAAAUAUGGAGAAAUUGAAGUGCGACGAUUACCUUUUACAAAAUUGAGCUCGGCUACAGUUAUUUUAAGCACCCAGAACUCAGAAUAUCACCAAAAAUAAGCAACCCAGAUGUUAAGUAACCAGACAUCACCAAAAAUGCAUGAUUUUUGGCAUUGUAACUUAGCCAAGAUGUUUUGGAGAAGAAAUUAUGAAAGAAUGAGGAAGGUUAUGAGUGAAUGAGCUUAAAGAUUUACUUAUUACUGCUUUAAAAUUGGUUGAUAAGCAUUUAUUCCAUUUUCAUGGUUGUUCAUGGUGGUUGAAGGUAUUGAAGACGAUGACAUUCUCGUAAUUAAAAAGUCUUUAGAAGGUCCAAGAAGACUUUAGCCAAAUAAAGAAAAAUCGAAUUAUUAGAUGUAUAAUGGUAUUUUCGUUAAUAGUUUAAGUGGGAAGGAUAAAGUUGUGAGAAAAUGGCAAAAAUUGGAGAAAGAAAAAAUAGAGGUUAAUUUUGUGUUUUACUUUGAAAUAUGGGUUAAAUACGAAACUCUCCUAUAAGAUAAUGCCUAAAAAAUAAAAGAGAAUUUCCAUUCAAGUUUUCUUUUGCCUCAUUCGUUUCAUUUAAUAAUGUGUUUCAAGUUUUUCCAAAAGAUUCUACAUGCAUGUUAUCAUUAGAUAUUCACUAAACACCUUUACCAGAAGAAGAAGAAAAAUUCCACUUAUACCAUAUAUAAAUAUCUAGUCAUAUACACCACUCAAAAUACGAAAAAAGAAAUCAAACUCAUCAAAAAAAAAAAAAGAAUCAAAUGGAGAGAGCAAAGUCGAAGAAGCCUCAUGCCAUGAUGAUACCAUACCCACUUCAAGGCCAUGUCAUCCCUUUUGUACACUUAGCCAUCAAACUCGCUUCUCAUGGCUUUACCAUCACUUUUGUCAACACCGACUCUAUCCACCACCACAUCUCCACCGCUCUCCACGGUGACGCCGGCGACAUCUUCUCCACCGCCUGCAGCUCCGGCCACCUUGACAUACGUUACACAACCGUGAGCGACGGUUUUCCUUUGGGGUUUGACCGCUCGCUUAACCAUGAUCAAUUCUUCGAAGGCAUUCUCCACGUCUUCUCUGCCCAUGUUGAUGAUCUCAUCGCCAAAAUUGCCCGCCAGGAUGAUGAUCCUCCGGUGACUUGCUUGAUCGCCGACACGUUUUACGUUUGGUCAUCUGUGAUUUGCGACAAGCACAACCUCGUUAAUGUCUCGUUUUGGACCGAACCUGCUUUGGUCCUUAAUCUCUAUUAUCACAUGGAUCUGCUCAUAUCCAACGGUCAUUUCAAAUCUCUCGGUAACUAUCUUAAUUCAUGUUAAUCUUGUGUUUACAGUUUACUACUCAUCUGUUUCAUAACUAUCUUAUAACUUUUGUUUCACUUGAAGUGUUUUCGUGUAUUUUUCAAUACAAAAUUUUAAACCAGAUAUAUUUCUAUGAAUCUAGCUAGCCGUUAAUUAGAAAUUUUUUACAUUAGAGAAACAAAUUAUUUAGUAUAUUGAUAAACAAUAUGUACAACAAUAUAUUGCUAAAAUUCUAAGAAUUAUUUAAUCUAGCUAUAUAUCACCAAAUUUUGGGUCUGUAUUUUGUCAUUUAAGAUAUCAAUCAUUUUGAAAUUUAACACGAGUCAUAAAUGAUUCGAAAUUUUGUGUAUUAUAUCGGAAGAAAAGAUACAUUCAUGAUUUGUGUAUUUUUGUGGAAAUCGGUGACUAGAUCGUUGAUGAAUUUUCGAGAGAAUAUUCCACACGUAAUUAUACGGUUUAAUGACAUCAUUUGUAGAUAAUCGUGAAGACGUGAUCGAUUACGUGCCAGGGGUUAAAGCAAUAGAGCCAAAGGACUUGAUGUCAUAUCUUCAAGUGAGCGACAAAGACAUAGACACAAACACAGUGGUCUAUAGAAUACUAUUCAAGGCCUUUAAAGACGUCAAGAGAGCCGAUUUCGUUUUAUGCAACACCGUGCAAGAGCUGGAACCAGGUUCUCUCUCAGCUCUACAAGCCAAACAACCGGUUUAUGCUAUCGGUCCGGUUUUCUCAACCCAAUCGGUUGUCCCCACGAGCCUAUGGGCAGAAUCAGAUUGUACCGAGUGGCUCAAGGGCCGGCCUGCCGGUUCGGUCUUAUACGCCUCCUUUGGAAGCUAUGCGCAUGUUGGUAAGAAGGAGAUCGUUGAGAUAGCCCAUGGCCUUUUACUAAGUGGACUUAGUUUUAUUUGGGUUUUACGUCCCGAUAUAGUUGGAUCCAAUGUGCCGGAUUUUCUACCAUCCGGGUUUGUAGAUCAGGCCCAAGGUCGAGGCCUCUUGGUCCAGUGGUGUUGUCAGAUGGAAGUGAUCUCAAACCGGGCGGUUGGAGGGUUUUUAACACAUUGUGGAUGGAAUUCGAUUCUAGAGAGCGUUUGGUUCGGUUUACCGUUAUUGUGUUAUCCGCUUUUAACCGACCAGUUCACGAAUAGGAAGCUUGUGGUUGAUGAUUGGCGCAUUGGGAUUAACCUUUGCGAGAGGAAAACGAUCACAAGGGAGCAAGUCUCGGCUAAUAUUAGAAAGCUGAUGAUCAACGGAGAAACUUCAAGUGAGCUGAGAAAUAACGUUGGAAAAGUUAAACAUCAUCUAAAAGAUGCGGUUACAGCCGUUGGAUCUUC
rnacentral:lncRNA from 1 species